UACAUGGUUUUAUUAACAAGAAACACUCCAUUAACUUCCAUAGUUAUGCAGAUGCUACAGAAUUCUAUUUAUGUAUGAAACCAGAUGAUACUAAUCAA